rnacentral:rRNA from 1 species
AUUGAACGCUGGCGGCAGGCCUAACACAUGCAAGUCGAGCGGAGCGGCGGACGGGUGAGUAAUGCCUAGGAAUCUGCCUGGUAGUUGGGGAUAACGUACGGAAACGGGCGCUAAUACCGCAUCCUACCAGCUGAGCCUAGGUCGGAUUAGCUAGUUGGUGGGGUAAAGGCCUACCAAGGCGACUAUCCGUAACUGGUCUGAAAGGCGGAUCAGUCACACUGGAACUGAGACACGGUCCAGACUCCUACGGGAGGCAGCAGUGGGGAAUAUUGGACAAUGGGCGAAAGCCUGAUCGAGCCAUGCCGCGUGAGUGAAGAAGGUCUUCGGAUUGUAAAGCACUUUAAGUUGGGAGGCGUUACCAACAGAAUAAGCACCGGCUAACUUCGUGCCAGCAGCCGCGGUAAUUC